CUUCAACUCUAAACCCUAAAACAUCAACUAUAAACCCUAAACCCUAAACUACAACCCUAAACCCUAAAACAUCAACUCUAAACCCUAAACGUAAAACGUAAACCCUAAACCCUAAACCCUAGAGUUGAUGUUUUAGGGUUUAGAUUUGAAGGUUUAGGGUUUUUGGGUUUAGGGUUUACAUUUAGGGUUUAGAGUUGAUGUUUUAAGGUUUAGAUUUGAAGGUUUAUGGUUUUAGGGUUUAGGGUUCGAAUUUUAGAAAAAUAUAGUGUUUAGGGUUUAGAGUUUACGUUUAGAAUUUAGAGUUUAUGUUUUUGGGUUUAGAUUUGAAGGUUUAGGGUUUAUGGUUUAGAGUUGAUGUUUCGGGGUUUAGGGUUUAGAAUUGAUGUUUCAUGUUUUAGGGUUUAGAGUUGAUGUUUUAAGUUUCGAUUUAGGGUUUAGGGUUUACUUUGAUGUUUUAGGGUUUAGAUUUGAAAGUUUCAUGAUAAUAAAUAAAUAUUUAAAUAAAUAAAAAUCUAAAAAAUAAAAAUAACAUUUUUUAAUUUUUUUUUUAAUUAUACAAACUCCACGUUUAAACCCUAAACCAUAAAACUCAACUCUAAACCCUAAACCAUCAAUUCUAAACUUUUUUUUAUAAAUACGAACCCUAAACCCUGAAACACCAACUCUAAAUCCUAAACCCCGAAACAUCAACUCUAAACUCUAAACCCUAAACCUUCAACUCUAAACCCUAAACAUCAAUUCUAAACUCUAAAAAGUAAACUCUAAACCCUAAAAAAUUAACCCUAAACCCUAAAACAACAACUCUAAGCCCUAAACCCUAAACCUUAAACUCUAAACCCUAAACAUAAACUUUAAAACCCUGAAACAUCAACUCUAAACCCUAAACCCCAAAACAUCAACUCUAAACCCUAAAUCCUAAGCCUUCAACUCUAAACCCUAAAACAUCAACUAUAAACCCUAAACCCUAAACUACAACCCUAAACCCUAAAACAUCAACUCUAAACCCUAAACGUAAAACGUAAACCCUAAACCCUAAACCCUAGAGUUGAUGUUUUAGGGUUUAGAUUUGAAGGUUUAGGGUUUUUGGGUUUAGGGUUUACAUUUAGGGUUUAGAGUUGAUGUUUUAAGGUUUAGAUUUGAAGGUUUAUGGUUUUAGGGUUUAGGGUUCGAAUUUUAGAAAAAUAUAGUGUUUAGGGUUUAGAGUUUACGUUUAGAAUUUAGAGUUUAUGUUUUUGGGUUUAGAUUUGAAGGUUUAGGGUUUAUGGUUUAGAGUUGAUGUUUCGGGGUUUAGGGUUUAGAAUUGAUGUUUCAUGUUUUAGGGUUUAGAGUUGAUGAUUUAGGGUUUAAAGUUGAUGUUUUAAGUUUAGAUUUAGGGUUUAGGGUUUACGUUUAGGAUUUAGAGUUGAUGUUUUAGGGUUUAGAUUUGAAGGUUUAGGGUUU
rnacentral:lncRNA from 1 species